rnacentral:rRNA from 1 species
GAUCCUGGCUCAGGAUGAACGCUAGCUACAGGCUUAACACAUGCAAGUCGAGGGGCAGCAUGAACUUAGCUUGCUAAGUUUGAUGGCGACCGGCGCACGGGUGAGUAACACGUAUCCAACCUGCCGAUGACUCGGGGAUAGCCCUUCGAAAGAAAGAUUAAUACCCGAUGGCAUAGUUCUUCCGCAUGGUAGAACUAUUAAAGGAUUUCGGUCAUCGAUGGGGAUGCGUUCCAUUAGGUUGUUGGCGGGGUAACGGCCCACCAAGCCUUCGAUGGAUAGGGGUUCUGAGAGGAAGGUCCCCCACAUUGGAACUGAGACACGGUCCAAACUCCUACGGGAGGCAGCAGUGAGGAAUAUUGGUCAAUGGACGAGAGUCUGAACCAGCCAAGUAGCGUGAAGGAUGACUGCCCUAUGGGUUGUAAACUUCUUUUAUACGGGAAUAAAGUGAGGCACGUGUGCCUUUUUGUAUGUACCGUAUGAAUAAGGAUCGGCUAACUCCGUG